rnacentral:rRNA from 1 species
AUUGAACGCUGGCGGCAUGCUUUACACAUGCAAGUCGAACGGCAGCACGGGCUUCGGCCUGGUGGCGAGUGGCGAACGGGUGAGUAAUGCGUCGGAACGUGCCGAGUAAUGGGGGAUAACGCAUCGAAAGGUGUGCUAAUACCGCAUACGCUCUGGGGAGGAAAGCGGGGGACCUUCGGGCCUCGCGUUAUUCGAGCGGCCGACGUCUGAUUAGCUAGUUGGUGGGGUAAAGGCUCACCAAGGCGACGAUCAGUAGCGGGUCUGAGAGGAUGAUCCGCCACACUGGGACUGAGACACGGCCCAGACUCCUACGGGAGGCAGCAGUGGGGAAUUUUGGACAAUGGGCGAAAGCCUGAUCCAGCCAUGCCGCGUGAGUGAAGAAGGCCUUCGGGUUGUAAAGCUCUUUUGUCCGGGAGGAAAUCCCGUA